UUUUAAAUUGAGAGUUUGAUCCUGGCUCAGGACGAACGCUGGCGGCGUGCCUAACACAUGCAAGUCGAGCGAUGAAGCCCUUCGGGGUGGAUUAGCGGCGGACGGGUGAGUAACACGUGGGUAACCUGCCUUAUAGAGGGGGAUAGCCUUCCGAAAGGAAGAUUAAUACCGCAUGAAAUGUUUUUAUCGCAUGGUAGAAACAUCAAAGGAGUAAUCCGCUAUAAGAUGGACCCGCGGCGCAUUAGCUAGUUGGUGAGGUAACGGCCCACCAAGGCGACGAUGCGUAGCCGACCUGAGAGGGUGAUCGGCCACAUUGGAACUGAGACACGGUCCAGACUCCUACGGGAGGCAGCAGUGGGGAAUAUUGCGCAAUGGGGGAAACCCUGACGCAGCAACGCCGCGUGAAUGAAGAAGGCCUUAGGGUUGUAAAGUUCUGUUUUCUGGGACGAUAAUGACGGUACCAGAGGAGGAAGCCACGGCUAACUACGUGCCAGCAGCCGCGGUAAUACGUAGGUGGCAAGC
rnacentral:rRNA from 1 species